UACGAAGGGGGCUAGCGUUGUUCGGAAUUACUGGGCGUAAAGCGCACGUAGGCGGGUCGUUAAAUCAGGGGUGAAAUCCCAGAGCUCAACUCUGGAACUGCCUUUGAUACUGGCGACCUAGAGUUCGGAAGAGGUUAGUGGAAUUCCCAGUGUAGAGGUGAAAUUCGUAGAUAUUGGGAAGAACACCAGUGGCGAAGGCGGCUAACUGGUCCGAUACUGACGCUGAGGUGCGAAAGCCAGGGGAGCGAACGGG
rnacentral:rRNA from 1 species